rnacentral:rRNA from 1 species
AGUGAACGCUGGCGGUAGGCCUAACACAUGCAAGUCGAACGGCAGCACAGUAAGAGCUUGCUCUUACGGGUGGCGAGUGGCGGACGGGUGAGGAAUACAUCGGAAUCUACUUUUUCGUGGGGGAUAACGUAGGGAAACUUACGCUAAUACCGCAUACGACCUACGGGUGAAAGCAGGGGAUCUUCGGACCUUGCGCGAUUGAAUGCGCCGAUGUCGGAUUAGCUAGUUGGCGGGGUAAAGGCCCACCAAGGCGACGAUCCGUAGCUGGUCUGAGAGGAUGAUCAGCCACACGGGAACUGAGACACGGUCCAGACUCCUACGGGAGGCAGCAGUGGGGAAUAUUGGACAAUGGGCGCAAGCCUGAUCCAGCCAUACCGCGUGGGUGAAGAAGGCCUUCGGGUUGUAAAGCCCUUUUGUUGGGAAAGAAAAGCAGCAGGUUAAUACCCCGCUGUUCUGACGGUACCCAAAGAAUAAGCACCGGCUAACUUCGUG